UACGUAGGGUGCGAGCGUUGUCCGGAAUUAUUGGGCGUAAAGAGCUUGUAGGCGGUCUGUCGCGUCUGCUGUGAAAACCUAGGGCUUAACUCUGGGCGUGCAGUGGGUACGGGCAGGCUAGAGUGCGGUAGGGGAGACUGGAAUUCCUGGUGUAGCGGUGAAAUGCGCAGAUAUCAGGAAGAACACCGGUGGCGAAGGCGGGUCUCUGGGCCGUAACUGACGCUGAGGAGCGAAAGCAUGGGGGAGCGAACAGG
rnacentral:rRNA from 1 species